UCCAGGACCCUUGCUCUCCCUCGCCAUGUGUCCAUGGCACAUGCGUGGUUAACACGGACAGGAGAAAUGUGACGUGUAAAUGUUUUGAAAAGUACGAAGGAAAAGCUUGCGAAACAAGGAUUUACGGUAAGCCAGGGAUUUCAAAACAAGCUGGCAGCUGGCGGUGCUACGAGAUUUGCCACAGGUUACUUUCUGUGAUAUAUAAAAUGAC